UUCAUCACUCUGACUCCACCUGCAUCCUCAUUCCUGAAGCGUCAGGAGCGCCUCCGACCCGGACCGCGGCUUUUUGUAGCAGAACCAGCGAGACAGAGUUGUGUAUGAUGGGGCAGAGGUCAGAGGUCACUGGUUUGGCGCUGGACGGACGUCCGUUCAGGAGGUUUUUACAUCAUCUCAGUAAUGAUUGACCUUCAUGUUUCUCAGUCUUGGUUAAAGACUCUGGAUAGCCGUUCUGUUGGAGCAGAACAAAGAGCAGCGUUCUCACCAGACAGACAGGAUUUGUUCUCACGCUGCAGGGAAGAACUCCUCAGAACCAAACCUUCAGAACCAGAUCAACCUUUGAGUCGACGCACCUGCUGUCGUCUUCAGUCGGUAGUUCUGUUGGACCCGACUCAAAUCAACACAGUUUGCAGAGCCAGGACACCAGGACCCAGAGCGCCACCAGGUACGGCACUUCCACAUGGUGCCAUUUCCAC